CUGUGAACAAAUCUGGGAGAACGAAUCUGCGCAUCCCAUCACAAAUGAAAACUCUUGGUAGAGUCCAAGUGAAUGUAAAACUCAUUUUGACAUUUAAUGUGACCAUUAGUGAUUAAUUCGCAGAGACUGGUUCACUCACUGAUUAGUUCGCAGUAUGUGAGUAGCUCGCAGUGAUUGAUUCGUUCGCAGUAUGUGAGUAGUUCGCAGUGAGUGAUUAGUUCGCAGAGUGUGACUCGUGAGUUCAAUAUGAACGAAUCACUCAUGAACAACACAUCACUAUUGUACGUUAUUUCCGGUUGCGGUCCGGCGCAUGAGACACGAGUGUUAGCCGUUUGGGCUUCCAGCGGGCUUUCAAGUCAAAUAACUGGGCACGGUGGCUACAUCUGAUUGAUUGAAAUGAAACCCAUCCUACUCCAGUGAUAUGGCCGUCCAUCACUCAGAUCAAGUACAACGGAGAAGGAGACCUGUUUUCCGUCGCUAAAGAUCCAGUGGCCAUAGUGUGGAACGACUCAGUACCUACAACGGACACACGGCAGCUGUGCGGUGUGUCGACUGACUGGGACACCAGAAAUGUUUUGACAGGAUCAGCUGAGAACAACUGUCGACUGUGGGACUGCGUGAAAAGGAAAUGCAUGUGAUAAAUGUGAUAGAAGUUUCUGAAUCCCAAAACAACAAUAAAAACGCACAAAUAGAACACGCAGGUUAGAUUUCACUGGCAACAUCAUCAUGUUUUCCACAGACAAGCAGAUGGGCUGUCAGGGUUUUAUGAACUUCAUCGACCCGAGGGAGCCACAGAUCGUAUUCUGGAGAAGAAAGCUGAGAAGCACAGCAGGCACAUCAACGACAUCCAGACGUCUGUAGACCUCACCAUGUUCAUCAGUGUCUCAAAGGACAACACCGCCAAGCUCUUUGACUCUGCCUUUCUGGAUCACAGCAAGACUUUUAAAACUGAGAGACCGGGGAAGUCUGCCGCCAUUUCUCCCAUCAAGUGGUUAUGGGAGGUGGGCAGGAGGCCAUUGAAGUGACCACAACUUUCACCAGGAUUGCCAGAUUUGAGGCCAGGUUCUUCCACGCUGUGUACGAGGAGGAGUUUGGCAGGGGUCAAAGGUCAUUUUGGUCCCAUCAACUGUGUGGCUUUCAAGAGGUGAAUGAGACCAACACUGCUUGUUCUUCCAUUCAUUGUCCCUCCUCUGCUAUUGUCAUUAACAGUGCAAUGGAGGAGAAGACGGACAUGUGAGGUGGCGGCCUAAAGUGUUAGGCUUGUGGACACAGCCAGGUAGAAUGAAGGAGCAUCUUUUUUUGAAGCAGAUCACUUGUUUUACUGAUUUCAGUAAUUGUAGUGAUUUUUCUAAGUAUAAAAAAACCCAAGUCCCAAAAAAAUUCCCAGCCUGUACCUAGACUCCUAUGUUCGUGUCACCAACUUGCUGUUGGCCGAAGUUAGCAACACAAACGUGCAUUUCUUUAACAUAUCUGACCUGAUGACUGACUAUAGUUUUUUUUUUUCUAACAAGAUAAAAUAAAAUAAAAUAUUGUGUAAAUGCCAUAACUCACAUUGUGUCUAGGUGCACACUGACAUAUGUUCAAGGUAAGUUCCUCAUUAUAGCUAAAGUAAUCCUUUUUUAACUACAAUCCCCAUGCCAUCAUUACUUGAGUGUUGUUUUGUAUGUCUCACCUGGAUUCCUGGAGGACCAGCAGGUCCACCUGGACCUUGUUUUUCUGUUUCACCCUGAGAAAUAAAUAAAAUGUUCAGUAAAACUGCA